UAGGGGAGAGAGGGGGAAAUAGGUUCUGUGGUUAGGAAAUGGAUCAAUGGACUGAUUUGAAACUUGGCAAUAUAGGAGAGUUUUUACAGGCAAAGAAGCAUCAGGAUCAGCCAGUAAAGUUGGCCAUUAAAGACCCUGGAGCCUGUUUAGGCAAACAGUUUACUACUCUCACUUUUCAGUUGAUUUCACUUCAUAAAUUAGCCACUUAAAAGGCAUGAGAUUUGCUGCUCUUGUUGCAUUUAAGACCUUCCGAAGCCGCAGAUCAUGUUCAGCUUUGAUAGAACUCCACACAAUCAUCCACUGAGGUGUCAACUCCAUCAGUGUGCUCAUAUAUUUUGUGUAUAGUUCUAUGGUACACUUUGGGUGCUGAAUCCACACCAAAUGGAAGCCGCAGAAAGCAAUACAUCCCAAAGGGGGCAUUGAAUGUGCAGAGCUUGGAACUAUCCUCUGUGACUUUUAACUGCCAAAAGCCAGAGGAGGCAUCAAGUUUGCUGAAAAAGCAAGCACCUGCAAAUUGUACCGUGAUUUCCUCCCUAGCAGAAAGUUUGAAAUGCUUCCUCGUUACAGGUUUGUUAAGGCUUCUGGGAUCAAGACAAACCCGUAACUUGCCAUUAAGCUUCUCUACAGUAACUAGAGAGCUCACCCAUUCUGUGGGUUCCUCAGUCUUCUCAAUGACCUGUAAAGCCUCCAUCCUUGAUAGCUCCUCUCUGAGUUUGUCACAAAGUGCAACAGGCACUUUUCUGCAUGGAUGGAUCACUGGGGAACUGAUUUAUUUAUUUAGAUUGUAUGUUCACCUGGUAAACAGCCAAGUCCUUCAAAUAUAUAACUCAAAAUCAGUGUCUCAUAUUCUUGUUCCCCAAUGGCUU